rnacentral:rRNA from 1 species
GAUGAACGCUGGCGGCGUGCUUAACACAUGCAAGUCGAACGAUGAAGCCCAGCUUGAUGGGUGGAUUAGUGGGGAACGGGUGAGUAACACGUGAGUGACCUGCCCUUAACUCUGGGAUAAGCCUGGGAAACUGGGUCUAAUACCGGAUAGGAGCGCCUACCGCAUGGUGGGUGUUGGAAAGAUUUAUCGGUUUUGGAUGGACUCGCGGCCUAUCAGCUUGUUGGUGAGGUAAUGGCUCACCAAGGCGACGACGGGUAGCCGGCCUGAGAGGGUGACCGGCCACACUGGGACUGAGACACGGCCCAGACCCCUACGGGAGGAAGCAGUGGGGAAUAUUGCACAAUGGGCGAAAGCCUGAUGCAGCGACGCCGCGUGAGGGAUGACGGCCUUCGGGUUGUAAACCUCUUUCAGUAGGGAAGAAGCGAAAGUGACGGUACCUGCAGAAGAAGCACCGGCUAACUACGUG